rnacentral:lncRNA from 1 species
CCGCCCCCGCAGAUUAAAUGGGCCGGCGGGGCUCAGCCCCCGGAAACGGCCGUACACUUCGGGGCUGCGAGCGCGGAGGGCGGCGGCGACGAAGCGCAGACAGCGUCAUGGCAGAGCAGGUGGCCCUGAGCCGGACCCAGGUGUGCGGGAUCCUGCGGGAAGAGCUGUUCCAGGGCGAUGCCUUCCAUCAGUCGGAUACACACAUAUUCAUCAUCAUGGGUGCAUCGCUUUCGAGUAGGAUAUGGUGAUGGUGAAUGAGCCCGUAGUACAUCCGUGGAUGGUGGUGUUGGCGAAACCGCGGCAGUGGAGAGCAUGUAUAUACACAGAAAAAGCAUCUAUUCCAAAGAGAAAAACUUGCUGCCCCCUGCAGAAUGGAAGGGGUUUGAUAUGAUAUAAUCAUCUUUUCACCAGGUAGGUCUGAAUGUCUGUAACCCCAAAUUUCAUAUGUUGAAACCUAAUCACCGAUAUGAUGUUAUUGCAAGUGGAGCCUUGAAUGGUGAUUAGAUCAAGAGGGCAGAGACCUCAAGAAUGGGAUUAGUGUCCUCAUAAAAGAGACCCCUGAGAGGUUCCGUGUGCAAACACAGUUAGAAGGCACCAUCUAUGAACCAGAAUGUGGGCUGACACCAAACACCAAAUCUGCUGACUCCUUGAUCUUGAACCUUCCAGCCUCCAAAACGGUAAGAAAUAAAUUUCUGUUGUUUAUAAGCUACCCAGUCUAUGGUAUUGUGCUGUGGCAGCCUGAAUGGGCUAAGACAGACCCCUGUGGGAUGAGCCCAUAUAUGAGACCUCUGCUCUUGGGAGAUUGGCACUUGGUGAAGACCAUGUUGUUGAGCCCGUGAGUUAACUUCCAUUUCUGCCCUCAUGGCACAUUUAUGUAGCCCACUGAGCAAGAAUCGGAGUAACUGAGGAAGGAAAGUUAACUCACAUCCCCAGAGCAGGUCAUCACAUCCACGUGAGUAGUACGAAAGCACCUCGGGAACCGACACAAGGGAUGUGCAUUUCCUGGUAUUACUAGGCCCAAUCUGGGAAGUCCAUCCCACAUGCCUCCCUUCUCCAAGAUGCCUUGCUGUCAAUUCUUCCAUAUUGUUACUUCCAAGUCACCACCAUGAUGAACAAACUCUUAUAAACUUCCAUUGACUCAAAUAGAUCUAUGCUUUUAGCACCUUCCUUCUGGGCAGAAUGAACAGUAAGAUGCAAUUAUCAAGAUGUGUCCUCAGCAAUAAUUAUGAAGACUUGUUGAAUGUCCCAUGAGCGGUUCUUGAAGGGAAAUUUAAAGUUUUGAAGGCUUAGAAUAAACAAACAAUGACUGAAAAGAAUGACCUAAGCCUACAAGUCUAUACGUUAGAAAAAGAGCCGAGUACAAGGCAGGGACAGUAGUGCAAGAUAUCCCUUCCUGAUUGAUGGAUAAAACAAACGUUACAAGUGCAUAAUAUAGCGGCCAGGCAGGCGCGGUGGCUCAUGCCUGUAAUCUCAGCACAUUGGGAGGCCAAGGCGGGCCGGUCACGACGGUCAGGAGAUCGAGACCAUCCUGGCUAACACGGUGAAACCCCGUCUCUACUAGAAAUAAAAAAAAUUAGCGGGGCAUGAUGGUGGGUGCCUGUAGUCCCAGCUACUCAG